GACGGAGGAUGCAAGCGUUAUCCGGAAUGAUUGGGCGUAAAGCGUCUGCAGGUGGCAGUUCAAGUCUGCUGUCAAAGACCGGGGCUUAACUUCGGAAAGGCAGUGGAAACUGAACAGCUAGAGUAUGGUAGGGGCAGAGGGAAUUCCUGGUGUAGCGGUGAAAUGCGCAGAUAUCAGGAGGAACACCAAUUGCGAAGGCAGCUCGCUGGGACGUUACUGACGCUGAGACGCGAAAGCGUGGGGAGCGAACAGG
rnacentral:rRNA from 1 species